UGGGGAAUAUUGGACAAUGGGCGCAAGCCUGAUCCAGCCAUGCCGCGUGAGUGAUGAAGGCCCUAGGGUUGUAAAGCUCUUUCACCGGUGAAGAUAAUGACGGUAACCGGAGAAGAAGCCCCGGCUAACUUCGUGCCAGCAGCCGCGGUAAUACGAAGGGGGCUAGCGUUGUUCGGAUUUACUGGGCGUAAAGCGCACGUAGGCGGACUUUUAAGUCAGGGGUGAAAUCCCGGGGCUCAACCCCGGAACUGCCUUUGAUACUGGAAGUCUUGAGUAUGGUAGAGGUGAGUGGAAUUCCGAGUGUAGAGGUGAAAUUCGUAGAUAUUCGGAGGAACACCAGUGGUGAAGGCGGCUCACUGGACCAUUACUGACGCUGGGGUGCGAAAGCGUGGGGAGCAAACAGG
rnacentral:rRNA from 1 species